rnacentral:lncRNA from 1 species
GUUCGGCGGCCUUUAGGGCAAUGUGCGCGUCCCUCCAUUCGGGCACAGCGGCCGGCUGGCCGGCAUCGCCCGCCGCCCACUUGAGGAUGUCGAGACAGUGCGGGCGGGCGCUCACGGUGGCAGCCUCUAGUGUCGACACGGCACACCGUCGCAAGUUGGACUCGUGCGCCCAGCGCACGGCCUCGGCGUGGCCUGCCGAGGCGGCAGUGUCGACGGCAUCGCGUCUGCACGAGAUCCCCUGGCCGUUGGCGCGUGAUGCCACCCAGCGAGCGAGCGGCACGCGCCCGCGUCUGAUGGCGUCGUCGAGCAGAAAGGAAGACGGGCGGAGCGCACACGGGCAAUCUGCCUCGACGAGCCAGUCGAGAAUGUCGACAUGGCCAUGGUCCCACGCAGCGUGGCCGACAUUGUCGCCCCACUCGGAUCGACCACAUGCGGCGUGGAGGGACGCGACCGUGGGCGACCCGCCCUCGCGCUUGCGCGCCUCGACCGCAUAGUAGGCCAUGCCGCGGUGCAGGUGUCGUACAAUCGAGAGGUGGCCGGUGCGCGCUGCGUGCAGCAUGAGCCGUGUGGCGAUGAGCGUGUCGGCAAAGCCCAGACGUCCGGCAAUCUCAAACACGGGUCCGGCGUGGCCGGCGUCGACGGCGGCGAUGAGCGCGCGGUGCAGAGCACGACCGUGGCCGGGGGCACUGGGCGGCGAUGCCUGCCAUGUAAAAUCGCGCAGCGUCGGCAUAAAGGCCUGCAUGACGACUGCAACAACAUCACGUCGACCGCGCGCCGCCGGCCUCUCGAUCAUCCCGAGCGUGAUCGGGCGUCGCUGGCGCUUGCACAGGCCGAUGAUGUCGGCCACGGGUUCGUCCGAGUCAAAGAUGUCGCGACCCGAGUCGAGCGCGUAGCGGCGGGCGAGCAUCUCGGCGCGGCUGUAGACGUGAAAGCACGGCGAGGCCAAGAGGCACGCGUGUAGGUCGCGGUCAUCGAUCAGGUCGAUGAUGGCGCGCAUCGUCUCGGGGGGCAUGGCGUCGAGAGCGAGUGUGUGAGAGUCUUUGGGCAGCACCGCGCACGCCGACCGCAAUCGCUUGGCCUCUCGUCGAGGCUGCGCCUGCUCAUCAUCGCCUUCCCGGUCUUGCCGCGUACGCUUGUAUCGGGCACCGUCGAUUGGUUCCGGUUCGUGUCUGCCUGGCACUGGCUGCAGAGACCGUGUCGCCGCGCAAAGGUCCCUUUUGGCGAUGAUCCUCAACAUAUCGGUUGGUGCGUCGGCAGCGGCAGCGGAACUCAAAAAGGGGCGGACGUCAUGUGGUGCCGUUGUUGUUGUGGUCGUGUUGGUCCUCAUGGGUAUGGUGGCCGUUGCGGUGGUCGCCGGUUGGUGAUGGUGCAUAUUUUCUGGUGUGUAUGGACAGUGGGCUUGGCGAGUUGGAAUGGCCUAUUGGGAGCGCGGCGGUCCCUCUUUAUCCUCGCUUGUGGUCCACUUCGACCAAACACGAUCCCGGUUUUUUGGUGGCAGCGUAACCGCGAAAAAAGUCGACGACGAUACAAAUAAUGAUAACAAUGAUGGUAAUGAUAAUAAUAAAAGGACGAUAGGAGCG